AUAACUGUCAUUUCUAGGAAAUCAGGGAAAUUCUGCUUCAGAGACAGCAACAAGGGAAGAAUUGAAACUUCUCAAGGUUAAAAGGAUCGUUUCCAGAAUGUGAAGUGGGUAAUCAAGAAGCAUUACAGGUCACUGUUCAAGCACUAAGGAGAGGCUCUAGGUGUGAGAACGAGUGCGACAACAACAAAGAGAAGAAGCAAAUACUUUACUGGAAAACAAAAGAAAAAAAAAAAGAUCAUAAUAUCUCUUCUCUGUGGGAAUACAAGAAAGAAUAUUCAGAGCAGAAGCUGUGGAGUAAGCAACCCUGAGAACCAAGGACAUCUCCAGAAGAGGAGAAAAGCAAAAUACAGUAAGCUGUGUGAUGGCUGUGUGAUGAUGACCCUGAUUGGAAGAAGAGAGCAUGGCCAGGAACGACUCAUGGCUCUGAUUGGACAGAGUGCCUGAGUGCACAGUUGUGGAGUAUUUGUGGAAUGUUUUGUUGACAUGUAAAGGGGAGUGGAAAAAUUAAAAGAGAAAACUUGUGAAUGUCUAUAAGGCAUGCUAGAACCUG
rnacentral:lncRNA from 1 species